AAGGAUCAUUACUGAACGAAAUGGGUGGCAAGGCUGUCGCUGGCUCAAAUGAGCAUGUGCACGUCUUUUGCUGCUUACUUCAUUCUCUUUUCCACCUGUGCACUCUUUGUAAACACUUGGGAUGUGAGAGAGGGUUGGCAUUUAUUGUUGAACCUCUCUUGAUAUUGAAAAAGUCUGGGUGUUUAUGUAUUUUUUGACAUACACGGUCGAAUGUCUAUAGAAUGAAAUUAAUAGGCUUUUGUCAGCCUUUAAAUGAUAAAAUACAACUUUCAACAACGGAUCUCUUGGCUCUCGCAUCGAUGAAGAACGCAGCGAAAUGCGAUAAGUAAUGUGAAUUGCAGAAUUCAGUGAAUCAUCGAAUCUUUGAACGCAUCUUGCGCUCCUUGGUAUUCCGAGGAGCAUGCCUGUUUGAGUGUCAUUAAAUAUCUCAAAACGCUUGUGCUUUUGUUGGCAUGAGAUUUUUGGACAUUGGGAGUUGCCGGCCGCUGAUAAAGUGGUGGGCUCUUCUGAAAAGCAUUAGUUGAGGAGUUUUGCACUCUAUUGGUGUGAUAGACUAUCUAUGCCAAGAGAYGCUUCAUGAUCCCUCUGCUGUCUAACUGUCUUUAUCGAGACAAUAUGAUAAACUUGACCUCAAAUCAGGUAGGACUACCCGCUGAACUUAAGCAUAUCAAUAAGCGGAGGAAAAGAAACUAACAAGGAUUCCCUUAGUAACUGCGAGUGAAGAGGGAAAAGCUCAAAUUUAAAA
rnacentral:rRNA from 1 species